UAGGUUUGUCCUAAGUCAAACUAGCUUAAGUUUGACCAACUUAUAUAGUAAAAUGUGCUAGGAUCUACAUAACCAAAUACACAUGCGAAAAUAUAGUUCAUAAAGAAUCUCGUGGUUCUAAUUAGGUGCUCUAGAUGUCAAUAUAUUUUUCUAUAGACUUGGUCAGACUUAAACAAGUUUGACUUAGGACAAACCCAG
rnacentral:pre_miRNA from 1 species